GCAAGUCGAACGGUAACAGAGAGUAGCUUGCUACUUUGCUGACGAGUGGCGGACGGGUGAGUAAUGCUUGGGUAUAUGCCAAUAGGUGGGGGACAACAGUUGGAAACGACUGCUAAUACCGCAUAAUGUCUUCGGACCAAAGGAGGGGCUCUUCGGACCUUUCGCCUAUUGAUUAGCCCAAGUGGGAUUAGCUAGUUGGUAAGGUAACGGCUUACCAAGGCGACGAUCCCUAGCUGGUCUUAGAGGAUGACC
rnacentral:rRNA from 1 species